rnacentral:rRNA from 1 species
GACGAACGCUGGCGGCGUGCUUAACACAUGCAAGUCGAACGGAAAGGCCUGCUUUCCCUUGUGGAUUGCGGGUGCUCGAGUGGCGAACGGGUGAGUAACACGUGAGUGAUCUGCCCCCAACUUGGGUAUAAGCCUGGGAAACUGGGUCUAAUUCCCGAUAGGACUGCAGGGUGGUGCCUGUGGUGGAAAACGAUUUUCUAGUGGUUGGGGAUGAGCUCGCGGCCUAUCAGCUUGUUGGUGGGGUAAUGGCCUACCAAGGCGGCGACGGGUAGCCGGCCUGAGAGGGUGGACGGCCACAUUGGGACUGAGAUACGGCCCAGACUCCUACGGGAGGCAGCAGUGGGGAAGAUUGCACAAUGGGCGGAAGCCUGAUGCAGCGACGCCGCGUGGGGGAUGACGGCCUUCGGGUUGUAAACUCCUUUCGACCGCGAGGAAGCCACCUGGUUGGAAGGGUGGUGACGGUAGUGGUAGAAGAAGCACCGGCUAACUACGUG